rnacentral:lncRNA from 1 species
CUGUUGAGGAGCCUCCUGGCCGCCGAGGAAAACGGCGGCGUCUCGCUGCCCGGCGAGAAGCUGGCGGGAGGCGCUUGCUUUACCUUCGGAGCUGGAGCUCCGUCUCUGGGGGAGAAUAGCCCGCGAUGUGAGGGAAGGACUGUGCUGGGCCCCCGGUCAAGGGCCCGGCAAGAAGGGCUCCGCUUGGCGGAGGGAGGAGCAGCCCAGCGCUGCCGGAGAGCGGAAGGGGCAGAGCCGCGGGCCUGGUGAGCGGCUCCAGUGCUUCCUAAAGGCCCACGGAGGACAGCGCGUGGUCCUAGGCUUACGGACACUCAGGCGGCUCCGAGUGCCCUGAACGAAGUGCCCUGCCCUCAGCCGUGCCCUGAACGAAGCCCAUUUGUUCUCUGAGCUGCCGACUGGCUUUGAUUCGCCAAAGUGGGCCUGGGGCCGAGUUGGGAUCAUGAACUGGGAAACAGCCGACUGCUCCAAGAAAAGAAUCAUUUGGAGCCUUUUAGAACUUGGACGCAGGGGUAAGGAGAACAGUGUGGAAGAGAGAGAGAGACGCUUCGAGAUGACCACAGCUUGGCCUUGGACGUGGGGUAGGGGCGCUAGGGGGGUUAUGAGCAAAGACAUCAGCUGGUUUCCUUCAGGAUACUUUAAUUUGCAAAUCUCUCUCCAUCCCUUCAUCUGUUUCUUCACUAUAAGCAGAGGCUGAGGUGGGGAUUGUGGUGCAAGAGGUUUAUGGGGGGGAUGCUUCAGGAGAAAGCGAAGAUGUCAAGAGCUGGUAGUGGCUUCAAGUCACCCCCACGGCUCUCAGAGCACAAAUUACGUCCAGAAUUGGUCCUGCUGGGAGGCAAGGGGCUGACCUUCUGUCCCCCGCAGCAGAUGGUCAUUAGCACCUCAGGGAAGAGGGCAUACGUGAGCUCUUGGCAGCCAGGAGAUGGCCUCACCGGCUGGUGAAAAACCUGAAAGGGGCACUUUCAGCAUCCACCACAUGUUCCACACUUUUCCAAGGUCUCCUGAACACCCUGUGACUGAAAAAGGGGGUUAUAAAAAACGAGGAAAGGGAUGGAUUUAUUUCUGAGUCAGAUGAUGAAGCAAGUAACCACUGAACUAAAUGAGUAAGACAAGAGUCUGAGCCACAGGUGACUCUGAGGCUGUGUGGCCCCCCACCCCCACCACGUGCAGAUGCCGGUAGAGAGUGGGACUCCCACAGGACUGAAAGUGGGGGGCACACCGACCCCAGCAGAGCUCAUGACCACCCAGUAAAUUGCGAAUUCCUACAUCACAGAGAAAACUGAAGUGCAAACAGGUGAAGAGAAUGUGACAUUAUGAAUCAAAAGUGAAUUACCUGAAUCAAGCAGAAAUUAUUAAUGGUACCACAAGCUGUUGAGUGAUAGGGGGUCAGGAAACAGGAUAUUCACAGGACCCCCAAGUCCUCCACAGAUUUCUGAGCCAUCACAAAGAGAAAACUGUUAGAAUGAGACGAUGUGGAAGUCACCUCUUUAGCCAGAUGGCUGAAUUUAGCAUCACAAAGAGUGGGACUUGACAUGAUGUCCCUCCCCAAGAGAUGUAAGGGACACACAGCUUCCCCUUUGGAGUGUUGUCACAACAUGCAUGACCUGAAUCCAGCCAUGAGGAAACAACCAGACAAAUCCAGAAUGUGAGGCCUACAACACAGCGGUCCUGGGCUCUUCCAGAAGCCUAAUGUGAUGAAAAACCUAACAAGUUUAAAAGACGUGAAAGAGCAUAACAGUUAGAUACAGAGGUGAAUCCUGAUUAGAUCCUGGAUUAUAAUGACAGCAGCAGCAAAACUGUAAAAAGGUCCACGUAAGGAAGAUGUACGGGUAAUAACAAACUUGACACGCUGAAAGAUUGCAUUGGGACAUCUUAUGAACCAGAAUCGUGAUACCACAUUCACACGUCUUCAGCCAAGUCUUCCAUGGAUCUUCUGCCUUAAGAAGGUGUUUCCUGGCGCUAAGACUGUCCCCCAGCAAUGCUGGCAUGGAUGUACCUUUGAAGGCAAGUGGUUGCUGCUCUUCACUCACCUUUUCCCUCUCUCUGUGUGCUGACACUAACUCCUGCUGGGCUGAAGUUUGGGACCACUGGGGAGGAGUGGAGCCCUACUGAGAAGGGUGACACUCGUGUGGACAGCUCCGAUGGUUGGGACACUGGGAGGAGUGGUUGAAGGACUGGGGUCCUAGUGUGGGGGGGCAUCUCUGAGGUUUCUGUGACUCUUCCCAUCAGAGCCUCAGGCUCCUCAUCUGUAGGACGGGCAUGAUUCCAGCCCCUUGUUCCCACCGCUUAGAGGCCUGAAGAACAAGAGCAGCUGCAUUCCAGGCAUUUGUACCCUUCAGGCUGGCAUUGAGGCAUUUGUUGUGUGGGUGUGGGUUUGGGGAGGUAGAGGUUCAGGAUAGGGGCAGAGCCAGCUCAGCGAAGGAGGGAGGAAAGACAGAAAACUGGUAGGAAGAGGAAACUGGGGAAGGGGUGAUGGUCACAAGUUGCAAAUGGAUAGAUUGUGUUCUGUCCUAUGUGGUAGAAGCUUCUCUUCCUUUCUGUGUAUUUAAUAUCACUAAAGUGAGCCUCAGCCACCAGUGGCUUUGAAUUGGAUAAGGUCAUUUCGUACAAAAGUGUGUGUGUUGAAGCCGACAAGACUGACUUCCCCCAAAUCCAUCGUUGGACCAUCAGUAGAGACCCCUUAGAAAAUGGUUGGCCGGCAGUGGCACUAGGAAGGAAGCGCCAGGGCCCAGGGCAGGAGGAGAAUGGGCUGUGGUGGGAAAACUCCAGAAAGGCUGGUUGGGUCAGGGGGUUGGAAGCCUUCCAAGCUGGGUACAGCAUUCCACCCCAGAAGCCAUAGACAGUGGAGAACUCUUGACUUGGGGCCUGGGGAGGGGUCUGAGCCGUGCUCUGGGGCACUUUUCCACCCCCCAUCUUUGGAGUCACCGUGGCAGUUGAUGAGGAAGCCCAUCCCUGAAACCUAGUCUGCUCUGCAUGUGGACAGUGCCACCUGAUUUGAGGGAGCCACUGCCCGGCCCUCGAAGCCUUGAGUGUCCACAAAGAGAGACAGGGCUGACAAAGCACUCCUGGGGUGUUUUUUGGGGCUCCCCUCUCCCCCAGGCCUGCCACCUGUGGAGUGCGUGCUUCUCCCUGUGGGGACUCAACAGUGAGGGGCUGGGUCCAGCAAGGAUGGAGGCUCCUCCCCUCCAUCUGCCCAGCAGGCUGGCGACAUCUCCUCUCCUGACGUCGGGGUGUUAUCCUCAGCUCCAGGUAUCACACCCGCCACUGUGGAGUAAGGGGCUGAUGAGGUCGUGCCCCCUCACACAAAGUGGUCUUUCCCAGAAGCCCAUCUUUCCUGCAGCCCAGGGUCACCCUGCCCUGGGCCAGGCCCCAACUGAGGGGGCAGGGUGUUCGCAGCUGCUUUAGACCAGUUCCCCAGGCUUGAAGUCCAAGUCUGCAAAGACCCUCCAGCAGCCCCACUUCCUUCAGGAUGGGGUAGCCAUGGGCAGCACCCUGUGAGCAUGUGGGAGCUGGGAGAGGAGAGGUGGCUCCUGCCACUAUGCCCCCGCUGCUGGGCCACCAGCUCUUCGGAACCGAGGCAGCGCCUGCUGUGGGCAAAGCCUCAGGAGAAGAAGGAUUAACUGCAUAGCACACGUUACUCAAGCAGCAGGUUGGAGAAGCUUCCCCAGAGCCUGGUUCCUUUUCUGCUUCUCCGAGUUUUCGCUUCAGGUUUGGCCUGAAGGGCUGCUUCUUGAGGGGCAGAACACCCAGGACAGGCCAGAGAGGGCACCCUGGAGCCCGAGGUCUAUAGCCCUUUGUCCCAGUUCCUUGGGUGAGCACUGUGGGUGCUUCCAUCUCAGUGGGAAGACAGGUUAGCUCCCCAAGACCCAGUGGGCCUUGGAACUAUAGCAGGGUGGCAGUGAGCCCCAGACCAGGCAUCAGGGGCUUCAGGGCCAGCAGACUUGACCUGGCCCUGCCGCUCUCCUGGGAUGUCAUGCCCCUCCCCGCCUCACC